UCAUGUGAUGACAUGAAUCUUUGAGACCUGAUUGUCGAUGACAAUUGCAAGCAUUUUUUUUCCUGAGGAA